GUGUCAGCAGCCGCGGUAAUACAGAGGUCCCAAGCGUUGUUCGGAUUCACUGGGCGUAAAGGGUGCGUAGGCGGUUUGAUAAGUCUGAUGUGAAAUCCCGCAGCUUAACUGCGGAACUGCAUUGGAAACUAUUUGACUAGAGGAAUGGAGGGGAGACUGGAAUACUUGGUGUAGCAGUGAAAUGCGUAGAUAUCAAGUGGAACACCAGUGGCGAAGGCGAGUCUCUGGACAUUUCCUGACGCUGAGGCACGAAAGCCAGGGGAGCAAACGGGAUUAGAUACCCCUGUAGUCC
rnacentral:rRNA from 1 species